AGCGCACUAACUCGCGAGCAGCUCGGUACUGUGCCAUAAUGGAUGCUAGCGUGUUGAUGGAAAUGGAUUUAUGUGCGCUACACGAUGAUUCUUACACGCAUAUUUUACAUGUAUUUAGAUAGGAGCACCCGAGCUAAAGCUUCCGCAUAAUUAACUAAAGGAAUGCCAGCUUUCUUUUUCUCACAGCUGCAUAAUUAAAACAAUACUUGCACAACUCGACUGCGCAGAACAACCGCAUGCAAUAAAGAAAAAAUCCAAGGAGCGUGUGAUGUGUGCGUAAACAGUGCAAUAAAUACAUACAAACGCGUUCUCGCAGGAGCCAGACGAAGAGCGCUUCUGUGCGAAUUAUGGCAACCACACGAAGUCAGCACGGCGAAAAAGAUCGAGUUUUCGACAAGCUUCAGUGUUUCGCUAGAGAGUCAAGAAAAAUUACUUUUAACACAAGCAUCAUCAUGCCGUUUAAGAGUCCGCAGCAUUAAAUAAAAGAACACUGGCAGUCUCGCAGUUCAACUGGCUUUUUUGGUUACCGGUGUCAGUGUUUUAGCAAGGUUUCCCGACUUCUUCCCAAAGGGACUCCCCUAUUGCGAAAGUUGUCUUUCACAUUCCACAGCCGUGGCCGUUUUGAAACCUCACUGAUUAGGAAUUCGUCGAAAAGCUAUCCUGGCAUGCUGCCUGUACCACGUGUAGCAAGUAAACAUCUUCCUAUGUGCAGGCUUUCUCGCACUAGUCCUUCGCUGGUCACGGGGCGAGGCGAGCUGUCAUUGGUUCGGAAGCAGUGCUGCCAUGAUGAAAUUCAAACUUGCCAGAACGGUUCUUUUUGCCUGAUCCUCGCCACUCCAGCCGCUAGUGCCGCCGCUGUUUCUGCAUCGCGGUGGCAGGAAUUGCAAGCAUUUUAGCUUGCAUGUGAAACAGGCUUGAGGCAGGGGGCACGGACGCCCCAUUUGGUCAUCACUGUGUCUGAAGGGGCAAGGUUCUGAGUGGUGUUGUAUAAGUCGCGGGUUGCUUUUUUCAUCGCGACGAUAGAUUGCAUUCUUUACAAGCACUGCUCCAGGAGGGCACAUGUAACCGGCAUAUGGAUGCCUCAGGAGAGCAGCUGAGGUUAUAAUAAAGCAGGCGGCGCAUGAUAUUCAGGGCACCCAAAGGGGUAGCAGGGGUAUCGAAGGUGAAAGCAGGGCGGCCCGAGGGUUGGCGCCGCGGAGGCCGAAGCGUGCCAGGGCGUGUUCACAUAAAAAACUGGCUGUCUGCUAUAGUGGACAGCCGAUCUUGUGCACCCCUGGGGGUGCUUGGAUUCGAUUGGGGCUUGCAGGCCUCUGCAAGCCCCAAUCCACGGACCAGUCCAGGUUCUAGCUUUGGUGUCCCCGUGGCCGCUUUGGUGUCCUGGAGGCGCCGCCAAUAAUGUGAAAUAAUGACACAUUGUUACAGUUGGUAAAAAACACGAUUGAGUAAAUAUAAUUACAUCAAGCCGCCAACUUGUGAUGCUAAGUUCAGCACUACCGCACCCCGUGACUUCUGCAGCAUCAGUCGGAACUUCGCCUCUGAAGGUACGUCGGACAGACUUUCUUGCGCCUGCGGAGCUGGUGCUGAGUAAGUCAUCAUCACCGGCGGCCUUUCACCCACUUGCAUUCAACUGUGGUUGCUAAGGCGCUCUGCCUUCUGGAUUUUCAAUAUAUGCGGCCAGAGCUCUACUACAGUUGCUACUGCUCCCACAGAAACAUCUGUGAUGUUAUUUACAAGGUACAUUGCGUAAGGCACGAGAAAGCUAUGAUCCGCCACGAUUGAGUUAGCAUGAGCGCCACAGAUGCGAGACAGUCUGUCCGACAUAGCGGUUGCCAAAUCGUCCGUCAGGGCCCGCUGCUUCACUGCUUCACCUAUUUUACCACGCCGGCAGCCAGCGUCCUAGCGUAAACAAACGACCCCACUCCGCAACGCCGGCACGCCUAGGGACAAACGCCUACAUAGAAACCUCCGUAGUGCCUAGGCAGAAUCAUAUUCAAGGAGCAAAAGUCCCCAGAUUUUCUCUCACGCCCACUCUUAUGCCUGCGCACAAACAGCUGGCGAUCCCUCAAAUGAACGUCUCGUGCUGCGCCCUGCACUCAGUUGGCACAUUUUCUCUGAACGUGGUGGUCUUAUGUGCUCACGAGUUCCAGCUUCUUUCUUUAUGGUUCCAGCAUGAACGUUUGUCAGUUCCAGGUGAACGUUUUCGCCAUUGCGCUUUGGAGUUCCAUCUCCGCGGCGCCUGUACGUCUUAUGCCUAUCAAGAGCCACAGCAGUCCCUCAUGCAGACUCCGUAAGCCAAGAGUCCUUGGAGGCAUAUGCAGGUAAGAGGCAAGAAGCAAUAGCACUGGUAUCGUCAUUGAUCUAAUAUCUUUCUUUUUCUUACGUUUAGGCAGCCAGCACACCUCGGAACAGCCACCUUGACUGCAGGUGUGUCACCCUAGUUGCUAAGGAAGCAUUUGAGGGAAAGCGACAGGCAAUCUGAACUGCCACUUCUUCGUGUAAAUGAUACUCUUUCUCUAGGAUGGCUCCUAUGCCUCGCCACGCCUGGUCACCUGUGCAGACUUCACCAACAAAGAUGCUGUGGAGGCACGUGCAGGUCAGAGGCAAGAAGCAGUGGCACUAGUGUCGACAUUCACCCAAUUUUUCUUUUUCUUGCGCUGAGGCAGCCAGCCAGCACACCUCGAACAGCGGGUGUGUCAGCAGAUUACUGUUGUACAUAUGCUCAUAAUAAACUUCAGUAAACUUAAACUUGAAAAUAAACUUGAAGGCAAAUGGGA